GAUGAACGCUGGCGGCGUGCCUAAUACAUGCAAGUCGAGCGAACAGACGAGGAGCUUGCUCCUCUGACGUUAGCGGCGGACGGGUGAGUAAAACGUGGAUAACCUACCUAUAAGACUGGGAUAACUUCGGGAAACCGGAGCUAAUACCGGAUAAUAUAUUGAACAGCAUGGUUCAAUAGUGAAAGACGGUUUUGCUGUCACUUAUACAUGGAUCCGCGCCGCAUUAGCUAGUUGGUAAGGUAACGGCUUACCAAGGCAACGAUGCGUAGCCGACCUGAGAGGGUGAUCGGCCACACUGGAACUGAGACACGGUCCAGACUCCUACGGGAGGCAGCAGUAGGGAAUCUUCCGCAAUGGGCGAAAGCCUGACGGAGCAACGCCGCGUGAGUGAUGAAGGUCUUCGGAUCGUAAAACUCUGUUAUUAGGGAAGAACAAAUGUGUAAGUAACUAUGCACGUCUUGACGGUACCUAAUCAGAAAGCCACGGCUAACUACGUG
rnacentral:rRNA from 1 species